AACCGUGGUAAUUCUAGAGCUAAUACAUGCCAAAAACCCCGACUCCGGAAGGGGUGUAUUUAUUAGAUAAAAAACCAAUGCCCUUCGGGGCUCCUUGGUGAUUCAUGAUAACUUAACGAAUCGCAUGGCCUUGCGCCGGCGAUGGUUCAUUCAAAUUUCUGCCCUAUCAACUUUCGAUGGUAGGAUAGUGGCCUACCAUGGUCUCAACGGGUAACGGGGAAUUAGGGUUCUAUUCCGGAGAGGGAGCCUGAGAAACGGCUACCACAUCCAAGGAAGGCAGCAGGCGCGCAAAUUACCCAAUCCCAACACGGGGAGGUAGUGACAAUACAUACUGAUACAGGGCUCUUUCGGGUCUUGUAAUUGGAAUGAGUACAAUCUAAAUCCCUUAACAAGGAACAAUUGGAGGGCAAGUCUGGUGCCAGCAGCCGCGGUAAUUCCAGCUCCAAUAGCGUAUAUUAAAGUUGUUGCAGUUAAAAAGCUCGUAGUUGAACCUUGGGCCUGGCUGAUCUGUCUUCCUAAACGUUGUACGGGUUCGGUCGGGCCUUUCCUUCUGGGGAAUCCUAUGUCCUUUAUUGGGCGUAGUGGGGAACCAGGACUUUUACCUUGAAAAAAUUAGAGUGUUCAAAGCAGGCCUUUGCUCGAAUACAUUAGCAUGGAAUAAUGGAAUAGGACAGCAGUUCUAUUUUGUUGGUUUCUAGGACCGCUGUAAUGAUUAAUAGGGAUAGUCGGGGGCGUCAGUAUUCAAUUGUCAGAGGUGAAAUUCUUGGAUUUAUUGAAGACUAACUAUUGCGAAAGCAUUCGCCAAGGAUGUUUUCAUUAAUCAGUGAACGAAAGUUAGGGGAUCGAAGACGAUGGAUCGUUAUACAUCUGGUCGUCCACAGCUCGAGCGCUAGUCCUUCGGGGCGACACUGUCCAGUUGAGGAGUCCCCGAUCGCAGGGUGAUCCACAGCCAAGUCCAACGUUGAAGGUUCCCGUCUUCCAACCGCGGAUGCAGUCCACAGACUGACUGACGGUGGGCCGGGUUCAACCACGAAUCCGGUUUAAGAUAUAGCCGGUCCGGCGCGUCAACGUGCCCGGAGCACACGCAGAUACCGUCGUAGUCUUAACCAUAAACUAUGCCGACUAGGGAUCGGACGGUGUUUUUUUAUAUGACCCGU
rnacentral:rRNA from 1 species